AUGCUCUCUUCGGCAGCACACGUAUUAAAACUGGAACAAUACAGAGAUUAGCAUGGACCCUGAGUGAGGAUGACAUGCAGAUUUGUGAAGCGUUCUAUACUAAG